rnacentral:rRNA from 1 species
AACGAACGCUGGCGGCAGGCUUAACACAUGCAAGUCGAGCGCCCCGCAAGGGGAGCGGCAGACGGGUGAGUAACACGUGGGAAUCUACCCAUCCCUGCGGAACAACUCCGGGAAACUGGAGCUAAUACCGCAUACGCCCUUCGGGGGAAAGAUUUAUCGGGAAUGGAUGAGCCCGCGUUGGAUUAGCUAGUUGGUGGGGUAAAGGCCUACCAAGGCGACGAUCCAUAGCUGGUCUGAGAGGAUGAUCAGCCACAUUGGGACUGAGACACGGCCCAAACUCCGACGGGAGGCAGCAGUGGGGAAUAUUGGACAAUGGGCGCAAGCCUGAUCCAGCCAUGCCGCGUGAGUGAUGAAGGCCUUAGGGUUGUAAAGCUCUUUCACCGAUGAAGAUAAUGACGGUAGUCGGAGAAGAAGCCCCGGCUAACUUCGUGCCAGCCGCCGCAGUAA